rnacentral:rRNA from 1 species
CAGCCGCCGCGGGAAAACGUAGGGGGCAAGCGUUGUCCGGAAUCAUUGGGCGUAAAGCGCGUGUAGGCGGCUCCAUAAGUCUGCUGUGAAAGUCCAGGGCUCAACCCUGGAAUGCCGGUGGAAACUGUGAAGCUUGAGUCCGGAAGAGGCGAGUGGAAUUCCUGGUGUAGCGGUGAAAUGCGCAGAUAUCAGGAGGAACACCAAUUGCGAAGGCAGCUCGCUGGGACGGUACUGACGCUGAGACGCGAAAGCGUGGGGAGCAAACAGGAUUAGAUACCCGUGUAGUCCCUGUCUCUUAUAC